rnacentral:rRNA from 1 species
UACGUAGGGUCCGAGCGUUGUCCGGAAUUACUGGGCGUAAAGAGCUCGUAGGUGGUUUGUCGCGUUGUUCGUGAAAACUCACAGCUUAACUGUGGGCGUGCGGGCGAUACGGGCAGACUGGAGUACUGCAGGGGAGACUGGAAUUCCUGGUGUAGCGGUGGAAUGCGCAGAUAUCAGGAGGAACACCGGUGGCGAAGGCGGGUCUCUGGGCCGAUACUGACGCUGAGGAGCGAAAGCGUGGGGAGCAAACAGG